GAUGAACGCUGGCGGCAUGCCUAAUACAUGCAAGUCGUGCGAGAAACCACCUUCGGGUGGCGGGAAGCGGCGGACGGGUGAGUAACGCGUAGAAACAUACCCCAAGGUGAGGGAUAAGCAUCGGAAACGGUAUCUAAUACCGCAUACUGUCUACGGACAAAAGAUUUAUCGCCAUGGGAAUGGUCUGCGUCUGAUUAGCU
rnacentral:rRNA from 1 species